rnacentral:tRNA from 1 species
GACUUCGUGGUGUAGUAGCUAGCACGCUCGACGCGUAACCGAGAGGUCCGUGGUUCGAUUCCCGGCUAAGACG